AUUAACGAAAGCUACCUCGAUUAUCUCGGAUCGACGAAGGAAUCUCCGUGUCGUAUCGAACCCCGUGAGAAAUCGCGUCGAUUUCUCCUCGUUGUGUCAUUGAGAAACCGUACACGUUUUACACGCCCUUACCGGUAUCAAUGGCCGAUCGAUCGAAAUCUUAGUACCGGGCUGAAAUACGAGAUGCCACGGAGGAAUGAUCGAGUCGAGAUGGAAAAAGAGAGGUCGGGUAAUUUGGCGUGGGCGGUAGAGUGAGGGGUGACAAGUGGGGUCGAACGCUUGGAAUUCGCGCAGGGAUCGAUUCGAUUUAAUUAAACUCUUGCCGAAUUCCUGGACACCUCGUCCAGGCUCGAGCACGUUAGGCUUGUCACGCGCGGAUAAUCCCUUCGAUCAUCGUCCCAUCCCACGAAUUUCCGAAUUUCCCUCUCCGC